UAAGGGCCAAAACUCUCAGGCUUAUGGCAAUUUGACACUCCUCUCAUGCGGUGUAAUAGGACUGCUUCUAAGGCUGGUCUCUUGUGCGUUUCCUGUGGAGUACAAGCACAUAAAACCAUGGAUUUCACAGACGAGUGUCCAGCUAAAUAAAUGCAACUGAGGAGACAUGCGGCAAAGUAAAUGGAUUUCAGCCCCGGGUCCUGGAGAGGCCAGAGAUGUAGGAAGAUUGGAGGCAAAAAAGUCCCCAAGAAACUAGUAUGAACUGAAAAUGGAAGUGUUACAGGCUUGGAAGAGUGUCUCCGGAGGAAACAGCCAGCCUCUGGUGCUGCCCGUGAGUCAUAAAAUUCAGACAUUGAAAACCUCAGGGUGAGCUGUAGGACUCCGGUGGACCUGGCAAGAUUAUAUAUGGAGUUCUACCAUGUUUCUUUAAACAGAUAUCUCCUCCAGCAUUAAGAAAAGCCUGUUAUCUUUGCAAAAAGAGUGUAUAAACAGUACUACAUGUAUGAGUGCCAAAUCAUUGUUUAUAUUAA